rnacentral:rRNA from 1 species
GUUAUAUGGUCAAGUGAAGAAGCGCAUACGGUGGAUGCCUUGGCAGUCAGAGGCGAUGAAAGACGUGGUAGCCUGCGAUAAGCUUUGGGGAGUCGGCAAACAGACUGUGAUCCAGAGAUCUCUGAAUGGGGGAACCCACUCAGCAUAAGCUGAGUAUCUUGUACUGAAUACAUAGGUGCAAGAGGCGAACCAGGGGAACUGAAACAUCUAAGUACCCUGAGGAAAAGAAAUCAACCGAGAUUCCCUUAGUAGUGGCGAGCGAACGGGGACCAGCCCUUAAGUUGGUUUGAGAUUAGUGGAACACUCUGGAAAGUGUGGCCGUAGUGGGUGAUAGCCCCGUACACGAAAAUCUCUUAUCAAUGAAAUCGAGUAGGACGGAGCACGAGAAACUUUGUCUGAACAUGGGGGGACCAUCCUCCAAGGCUAAAUACUACUGACUGACCGAUAGUGAACCAGUACCGUGAGGGAAAGGCGAAAAGAACCCCGGAGAGGGGAGUGAAAUAGAUCCUGAAACCGUAUGCGUACAAGCAGUGGGAGCCUACUUUGUUAGGUGACUGCGUACCUUUUGUAUAAUGGGUCAGCGACUUAUAUUCAGUGGCGAGCUUAACCGAAUAGGGGAGGCGUAGCGAAAGCGAGUCUUAAUAGGGCGUUUAGUCGCUGGGUAUAGACCCGAAACCGGGCGAUCUAUCCAUGGGCAGGUUGAAGGUUGGGUAACACUAACUGGAGGACCGAACCGACUACCGUUGAAAAGUUAGCGGAUGACCUGUGGAUCGGAGUGAAAGGCUAAUCAAGCUCGGAGAUAGCUGGUUCUCCUCGAAAGCUAUUUAGGUAGCGCCUCAUGUAUCACUGUAGGGGGUAGAGCACUGUUUCGGCUAGGGGGUCAUCCCGACUUACCAAACCGAUGCAAACUCCGAAUACCUACAAGUGCCGAGCAUGGGAGACACACGGCGGGUGCUAACGUCCGUCGUGAAAAGGGAAACAACCCAGACCGUCAGCUAAGGUCCCAAAGUCAUGGUUAAGUGGGAAACGAUGUGGGAAGGCUUAGACAGCUAGGAGGUUGGCUUAGAAGCAGCCACCCUUUAAAGAAAGCGUAAUAGCUCACUAGUCGAGUCGGCCUGCGCGGAAGAUGUAACGGGGCUCAAACCAUGCACCGAAGCUACGGGUAUCACCUUUUGGUGAUGCGGUAGAGGAGCGUUCUGUAAGCCUGUGAAGGUGAGUUGAGAAGCUUGCUGGAGGUAUCAGAAGUGCGAAUGCUGACAUGAGUAACGACAAUGCGAGUGAAAAACUUGCACGCCGAAAGACCAAGGUUUCCUGCGCAACGUUAAUCGACGCAGGGUUAGUCGGUCCCUAAGGCGAGGCUGAAAAGCGUAGUCGAUGGAAAACAGGUUAAUAUUCCUGUACUUCCGAUUGUUGCGAUGGAGGGACGGAGAAGGCUAGGCCAGCUUGGCGUUGGUAGUCCAAGUUUAAGGUGGUAGGCUGAGAUCUUAGGCAAAUCCGGGAUCUCAAGGCCGAGAGCUGAUGACGAGUUGCCUUUAGGCGACGAAGUGGUUGAUGCCAUGCUUCCAAGAAAAGCUCCUAAGCUUCAGACAAUCGGGAACCGUACCCCAAACCGACACAGGUGGUUAGGUAGAGAAUACCAAGGCGCUUGAGAGAACUCGGGUGAAGGAACUAGGCAAAAUGGCACCGUAACUUCGGGAGAAGGUGCGCCGGCGAAGGUGAAGGGUUUACCCCGUAAGCUUUUGCCGGUCGAAGAUACCAGGCCGCUGCGACUGUUUAUUAAAAACACAGCACUCUGCAAACACGAAAGUGGACGUAUAGGGUGUGACGCCUGCCCGGUGCCGGAAGGUUAAUUGAUGGGGUUAGCGCAAGCGAAGCUCUUGAUCGAAGCCCCGGUAAACGGCGGCCGUAACUAUAACGGUCCUAAGGUAGCGAAAUUCCUUGUCGGGUAAGUUCCGACCUGCACGAAUGGCGUAACGAUGGCGGCGCUGUCUCCACCCGAGACUCAGUGAAAUUGAAAUCGCUGUGAAGAUGCAGUGUAUCCGCGGCUAGACGGAAAGACCCCGUGAACCUUUACUAUAGCUUUGCACUGGACUUUGAAUUUGCUUGUGUAGGAUAGGUGGGAGGCUUUGAAGUGGGGACGCCAGUUCUCAUGGAGCCAUCCUUGAAAUACCACCCUGGCAACUUUGAGGUUCUAACUCAGGUCCGUUAUCCGGAUCGAGGACAGUGUAUGGUGGGUAGUUUGACUGGGGCGGUCUCCUCCCAAAGAGUAACGGAGGAGUACGAAGGUGCGCUCAGACCGGUCGGAAAUCGGUCGUAGAGUAUAAAGGCAAAAGCGCGCUUGACUGCGAGACCCACACGUCGAGCAGGUACGAAAGUAGGUCUUAGUGAUCCGGUGGUUCUGUAUGGAAGGGCCAUCGCUCAACGGAUAAAAGGUACUCCGGGGAUAACAGGCUGAUACCGCCCAAGAGUUCAUAUCGACGGCGGUGUUUGGCACCUCGAUGUCGGCUCAUCACAUCCUGGGGCUGAAGCCGGUCCCAAGGGUAUGGCUGUUCGCCAUUUAAAGUGGUACGCGAGCUGGGUUUAGAACGUCGUGAGACAGUUCGGUCCCUAUCUGCCGUGGACGUUUGAGAUUUGAGAGGGGCUGCUCCUAGUACGAGAGGACCGGAGUGGACGAACCUCUGGUGUUCCGGUUGUCACGCCAGUGGCAUUGCCGGGUAGCUAUGUUCGGAAGAGAUAACCGCUGAAAGCAUCUAAGCGGGAAACUUGCCUCAAGAUGAGAUCUCACUGGGAUCUAGAAUCCCCUGAAGGGCCGUCGAAGACUACGACGUUGAUAGGUUGGGUGUGUAAGCGCUGUGAGGCGUUGAGCUAACCAAUACUAAUUGCCCGUGAGGCUUGACCAUAUAACACCCAAGCAAUU